GACGAACGCUGGCGGCGUGCUUAACACAUGCAAGUCGAACGGUAAGGCCCUUCGGGGUACACGAGUGGCGAACGGGUGAGUAACACGUGGGUGAUCUGCCCUGCACUUCGGGAUAAGCCUGGGAAACUGGGUCUAAUACCGGAUAGGACCCUGGGAUGCAUGUCCUGGGGUGGAAAGCUUUUGCGGUGUGGGAUGGGCCCGCGGCCUAUCAGCUUGUUGGUGGGGUGAUGGCCUACCAAGGCGACGACGGGUAGCCGGCCUGGGAGGGUGACCGGCCAGACUGGGACUGAGAUACGGCCCAGACUCCUACGGGAGGCAGCAGGGGGGAAUAUUGCACAAUGGGCGCAAGCCUGAUGCAGCGACGCCGCGUGAGGGAUGACGGCCUUCGGGUUGUAAACCUCUUUCAGCACCGACGAAGCGCAAGUGACGGUAGGUGCAGAAGAAGGACCGGCCAACUACGUGCCAGCAGCCGCGGUAA
rnacentral:rRNA from 1 species